GGAGGCGUUAACGUUGGCAGUGUGGAGGGCUCUUGAAAAGCCCACGGUAUAGUGAUAUGCCGCGAGAGUUCGAAUCUCUCCGCCUCCGC
rnacentral:tRNA from 1 species